rnacentral:rRNA from 1 species
UGAGUACGAGAGCUAAGGCGUCGAAGUAGUGUAUGUCAUACUUCCAAGAAAAGCUUGCACUGUCAUUCAUAAAAAAUGCCUGUACCAUAACCGACACAGGUGGGUAGGUAGAGUAUACUAAGGGGCACGAGAUAACUCUCUCUAAGGAACUCGGCAAAAUAACUCCGUAACUUCGGGAGAAGGAGUGCCUUAUUUAUAUAAGGUUGCAAUAACAAGAUCCAAGCAACUGUUUACCAAAAACACAGGUCUCCGCUAAGUCACAAGACGAUGUAUGGGGGCUGACGCCUGCCCAGUGCCAGAAGGUUAAAGAAGUUGGUUAGCAAUAGCGAAGCUAGUAACUGAAGCCCUGGUGAACGGCGGCCGUAACUAUAACGGUCCUAAGGUAGCGAAAUUCCUUGUCGGGUAAGUUCCGACCCGCACGAAAGGCGUAAUGAUUUGGAUACUGUCUCGGAGAGGGACUCGGUGAAAUAGACUUGUCUGUGAAGAUGCGGACUACCUGCACCAGGACAGAAAGACCCUAUGAAGCUUUACUGUAACUUGAAAUUGAAAUUGGACUUUAUUCGCGCAGUAUAGGUGGGAGGCAUUGAAAAUAAUCUUGCGGGAAUAUUGGAGCCAUCAGUGAGAUACCACUCUUGUAAUGUUAGAUUUCUAACUUUGAAUCAUUAUCUGGUCAAAGAACAGUUUCAGGCGGGCAGUUUGACUGGGGCGGUCGCCUCCCAAAUGGUAACGGAGGCGUACAAAGGUUUCCUCUGAACGGGUAGAAAUCGUAUCUAGAGUGUAAAGGCAAAAGGAAGCUUGACUGUGAGACCUACAAGUCGAGCAGGGACGAAAGUCGGUCUUAGUGAUCUGACGGUACUGAGUGGAAAGGCCGUCACUCAACGGAUAAAAGUUACUCUAGGAUAACAGGCUGAUCUCCCCCAAGAGUUCACAUCGACGGGGAGGUUUGGCACCUCGAUGUCGGCUCAUCGCAUCCUGGGGCGGUAGUACGUCCCAAGGGUUGGGCUGUUCGCCCAUGGAAGCGGUACGCGAGCUGGGUUCAGAACGUCGUGAGACAGUUCGGUCCAUAUCCGGUGUAGGCGUUAGAAUAUUGAGAGGAGCCUUCUUUAGUACGAGAGGACCGAGAAGGACAUACCUCUGGUGUACCAGUUAUCGUGCCAACGGUAAACGCUGGGUAGCUAUGUAUGGAGUGGAUAACCGCUGAAAGCAUCUAAGUGGGAAGCCCACCUCAAGAUGAGUAUUCUC